UACAGAGGGGGCAAGCGUUGUUCGGAAUUACUGGGCGUAAAGGGCGCGUAGGCGGCCUGCUAAGUCGAACGUGAAAUCCCUGGGCUCAACCCAGGAACUGCGUCCGAUACUGGUUGGCUUGAAUCCGGGAGAGGGAUGUGGAAUUCCAGGUGUAGCGGUGAAAUGCGUAGAUAUUGGGAGGAACACCAGUGGCGAAGGCGAGUCUCUGGGAUGAUACUGACGCUGAUGCUCGAAAGCUAGGGGAGCAAACGGG
rnacentral:rRNA from 1 species